CCCAGGCCUUCGGCCUGGGCUAAGAUGGGUCGCGCCUUUGGCGCU
rnacentral:sRNA from 1 species